CGGAAAGAUUGUUAAUGCCUGAAUCUGCUUUUCGCUUGCUUGGGGCUUUCAAACAAAGUGGUUACAUCUCUAAACUCCUUUCCUCACCUGUGAAAAGGAGGUGGGAGGUGCCUCUUGUGAUAAUUACAUGGAAUAACACGCAGAAUGUGCUUCUAGCUCUUCCUGAGGAAGAAAGCCCUCAACAUUCUGAACUGAGAGCCGAUUUCUGCUUCUCUCCAGUCCCAAAUAUUGCAGGAGUGAGAAGAUCCCUCUUUUCACCCUACUGGUCAUCAUUUUCUGGAGAAACCAUCAGAAUGUCCACAAGGUGUUUCCAAAAUCUUCUGCCCCCAGAAGAGUUUGCAAAGAACUUCAAGGACUUCCCUUGCAAAAGGAAAUAGCAGAUGUUGUACAUAUAUUAUAGCUGGAAACUCUACUGCUAUGAAUUCUGACAGCAAGUUCAAAUAAUGAAUUUGUAAGUGGAAACAAAAAUACUAGGUAUUGUAAUUGAUUUUUUUAGAAAGCAACUUCAGUAUCCUUGAAAUAAUUAGGUCAGAUGUAAUAUUUGAAAUUUAAGUGUGGGUUUCAAAAGGAAUCAGAUGAUGAAGUGAAAAUGGUAGCAUUAUUACCUUUGGAAAUUAAAAAAAUUGCAGUGACAUAUUGGAAAUGUAAAUUGCUUGCCUACUUCUGCAGCUUUAUACACAGCUUUUCUUGGUGCAAAUCAGCCUCCAGUUUUUAUUUUAAGAUGUGCUUAGAACAUAUGAACCAGAUUAAGCUCGCUCCCAUCUGCACAAAAGUGGGAAGGUUGCACAGCCUUGUAUACCGACCAGCAAAUAUUUUCUCUUCUUAUAUCAACUUCUGCUAGCAGAAAAAAACUAGAUGGGAUAGAAAAAAGUACCCUAAUUUCUUUCAAUUACUUUCAGUCUUACUGGAGAAUAUGUCUUAUAUGUUAUGAACGCCCAUUCAUCUCCUGUGCUUGCUGCCUUUGUAAUCUCAUCAUUAACAAUAUAUGAGAAGAGUAGUUCUCCAGAUUUAUGCGUAACCAUGAUUUGUUCAUGGCUGCCAGCCCACGGCGGGUGGAUUGGCUUUUGUUAUGAAUCAUUUGUGCACGUGAUUUAAUAUAUGUUUGGACCGUAAGUCUGGCUUUGAUUUUUUUAAACAUUUGACAGGUUGAGUCAAUCUUGCGUGAAUGUAAGUAAAAUGUGGUGUGCACUCAACAUUAUCUCCCUAAGCAUCGGUUUUUCAGGCGUGUAAUCAUUUGAGGUCAUGGCUGUUGUGAAUUCACAAUCAUUUUAAAUUAGAGUUUAACUUGUAUUUGCUGCCCACUGUCUUGAACAUCAAGAACUGUUGAGAGAAUUCAAAAGAAAACAUUGAACUAGGAAGCAUUGAAAACAUUGAAUUUAGUGAUAAAGAAACAUGCAUCUGUCAUCAGAGAGAUCUGGGUUCAAACUUGUGGAUUCUUAAAUCUUGUCUUAUAUACCUGGGUAAGUUCAUCAACCUUUAACUUACUUCUUUAUUUUGUAAAACGAAGCUAAAAACAAGAUCGCCUAUUAAUUUUUUUCAAAAUUAAAUUGCCUAAUGCUUGAAAUAUGAUUAUCACAGUACCUCAGUAAGUAUUACCUAUGAUAUAUAAUGUACAUUUUUGUAGUUUGACAUAAACAAAGAAAGGUAUACAAAGCCUCAUUGUAUAUAGCUCAGUAAAUUUUCAAAAAAUGAGCACAUCAGCAUAGACAGCACUAAGAUCAAGAAAUGGGACAUUAUUUUAUGGUUUUUCCAGAAACUACUUUCCACCACUACCCAGGAGUAUUUGGUAACCUGACUUUUUUCAUCAUAAUGAUUUUUGCUUAUUUUUGAACUCUUGAUUCUUUCAGAUUU
rnacentral:lncRNA from 1 species